rnacentral:rRNA from 1 species
UACAGAGGGGGCAAGCGUUAUUCGGAAUUACUGGGCGUAAAGCGUGCGCAGGCGGCUUUGCAAGACAGAUGUGAAAUCCCCGGGCUUAACCUGGGAACUGCAUUUGUGACUGCAUGGCUAGAGUGCGGCAGAGGGGGAUGGAAUUCCGCGUGUAGCAGUGAAAUGCGUAGAUAUGCGGAGGAACACCGAUGGCGAAGGCAAUCCCCUGGGCCUGCACUGACGCUCAUGCACGAAAGCGUGGGGAGCAAACAGG